rnacentral:rRNA from 1 species
GACGAACGCUGGCGGCGUGCCUAACACAUGCAAGUCGAACGGAACUGUUUUGAAAGAUUUCUUCGGAAUGAAUUUGAUUUAGUUUAGUGGCGGACGGGUGAGUAACGCGUGAGUAACUUGCCUUCAAGAGGGGAAUAACAUUCUGAAAAGAAUGCUAAUACCGCAUGACAUAUCGGAACCACAUGGUUUUGAUAUCAAAGAUUUUAUCGCUUGAAGAUGGACUCGCGUCCGAUUAGUUAGUUGGUGAGGUAACGGCUCACCAAGACCGCGAUCGGUAGCCGGACUGAGAGGUUGAGCGGCCACAUUGGGACUGAGACACGGCCCAGACUCCUACGGGAGGCAGCAGUGGGGGAUAUUGCGCAAUGGGGGCAACCCUGACGCAGCAACGCCGCGUGAAGGAUGAAGGUUUUCGGAGUGUAAACUUCUUUUAUUAAGGACGAAAAAUGACGGUACUUAAUGAAUAAGCUCCGGCUAACUACGUG